GAGAGCCAGUAAAAUAUAUUAUAAUGCUGUUUUCUGUAACAGUUGUACUGUUACUUUAAGGCUUGAUUGAUUUUACUUGAAUUUUUUUUGCCGCAUGUGGAAUGAGCCAAAGCAAUUGUAUUUGUGAUAAGACAUUAUGCCAUUUUCUGUAAUUUAAAGAGAUUUAGAAUUACAGCGCAUUAGUCACUCUCUCUUAACAGCAAUGUUUAGAGCAGACGGUUUUGGUGGUGGGGGGCAGUUCGCCACGACACAGCUCUCCUUGCCCCCCUUCUAAUUUGAGGUGUGCCAAUGUCAUAUGGCUUUGCGUUACCAUGAAGACGUAUUAGAUCACAGACCCUUAAAAUUAAUUUUAUUCCACAAGUGGAAAGCACAUAACCGGCAGUAAACCCAUCAAUUGUAUUUUCAUUCGUGGAGGCGGCACUUCACUUGUCACCUAGUGAGCAGAUCCUACAAUAGGGACACAACAGCAAACACAAAUGCCACCAAAAUCAAAAUGGCGUGUUUCAAGAUACAUUUUAUGACAUUGGUUGUUUUGUGUAUUUUCACACUUGAUGAGUGGGCAGGCACUCGAGAGAACCAGUUAUUUCCAUAAAAGCAAUGAAAAGGUCAACUUUGCACAUUAUGUCCCCUUUAAAUCUUCCUGUGAUGCCCUAAAUAUGACAAAUGUUUAGAACAAGCUGAUCAUUACACCUUACAAUGAAUGACACAAAUAAUUGUAAACAAUGGGUGUAAACAAUGGGCCCAAAGAUGACAAUCCAGUUAUUAAACAAACUAACAAUGCAGUGGUUAAAAGCAUUUUUUCUUCUGAUCAAAACAAAGGACACAGCAUCCUUGCAAAGGUCAAUGUUGCUGUGAGAUGAGACACUUUUUUACAGAAAUACAUUGUCUUACAUUAUCAAGUGAUUAUUUCCUGUUUGUGAAAAAGAUAACCUUCAUUUAUUUGUCCCACACUGGGGAAAUUUGCAGACAAAAUGUCAGAAAACUGUGGAAAAUGGCAAAAAAAUAUAAAAAUAAAUCCACACUGCAAGGCAGACAUCCCGAUUGUUAUUAUAAGAAUGAACACGCGAGAGGUCAUAUACAUUUGAUAAUCAACCCAAAUCUUUUUGAGAGAAAAAAUGGGCGGGUGAGCUCCAACGGUCAAACAGCAAAUCUUUUGAACUCAAGUCUGUGUGACUUUUGUUUGUUUGUGUGGGUCCAAGUGACAGCAAAGAGAUAUAUGACAACAAAGAUGGAAAAGCGGACAUUCAUUGUGGAAAAGCGAAACACGGGCCUGCGCCAUAGUUUCUCAGCACAAACUGCUAACAAUUAAGAAGAGAAUGUAAACAAGUGGGAAGUGAACCAUUUAAUCUUUUGAAGCAAAUACUUGCUUUUGACUCAUUUGGACCAGUAUGUUCCCUUAUGUCUUAUUAUUAUCUAUAACAGUGUUUUCCAACUUUUAUUGAGCCAAGACAUGUUACAAUUGCAACAUUUCACAAAUGUUGCAAUAGUAGCAACAACAACUGGGUUGGUAGUGGAAGGACAUUUAAUUGUUCUGUCACUAUGUGUCACCGGCAUAAAGAGAUGAUCAAAGACACAUUUAUUCUACAUAUUAUAUUAGGGUGGUGCUACUAUCUAUCACUUGAAAGUCCAGCCAAGGACAUGCAGAGAUAGAAUGACAAAAAGCGAGGAAUAUUUAAACUGCAGCGGAUGUCAGAGGACUAUAUGAAGUUAAUGUUCAAAAGUCACAGUACUGCAUUUGUCAAUUUCCACAUCAUGGCUUAACCAGGAAGUGAGGGGCCUUGCCAGACGCACAAUCAAAGACUUCGUUA